GUCAACCAGUGGUUUCGCUCAGCUCCUGCUUUUCCCCCAGUCGCGCUUUCCCUAGCAGUCCUGGUUUUGACCCUUGCCUGUCCCAACUCUGAGCCCACCUGCAUGACCACUCUGCCUGCCGUUGACCCUGACUGCCUUCCUGUACCCUUUGCCCCUACUCUGGAUUAUCGACCCCUGCCUGCCAUAACCUGUCGUUUGCCUACCCCUGUAAUAGACAUGGUUACUUCAACACAGUCUUCAUUUGGGUCUUAUUUGAAACGUCGUACUCUGUGAGGUGGAACUGGCAGAGGGUGUUAAACUCCAGGUGAACAUUAUCACUCGACUGAGCAAGGAACCAUCAAAGCUCAUGACAGCUCUGUUUCCCCAGAGAGGUGAUGGCCGUCUCUUCGUUGACAGGAAAACAUUUGAAUGUAUUCUGGGACCAGGAGGCACAGAAAAAAGCUGUGCCCAACCAAAGUGCCAUUUGCACCUUUUAUUUAGGUGAAACCAGAUGGAGGAGAAGGAUGUCUUUAAAAUAAUUUAAUUAAAGCUUGAAUCGAAAUUG